rnacentral:lncRNA from 1 species
CCUUGUCUUCUACGACUUCAUAAAGAAAAGAGUAAUUUUAAGUUAUCUGCCUCAGCAUGAUGUCAUAACUCAUGAAUCACAUGGAAUUUCCCCAGCACUGUCACGGGAUCUUUACAUCCGCUAUUCAGUAUCGACUUGGUGUCCAAAGGGAUGAAAAGUGGAGAAAAACAGAAAAUUCACCACGUGAAGAACAAUAGACUUAGACGGUUGCUCUAGGCAUGCAGUGCCAAGGAGGGAGAGAGUCGUCACACAAGGAGUCCACCUUCUCACACGGGCCCAUGGUGGUCUUACGAAGGAUAACCUUUGUUUCCAAAACUACAUCCUUGACAACAUGAAAGAGCUAUGCCAACUGCACUGCGACCACGGUCCAAGUCAGGAUUGUUCCAGGGAAAUGGGAUAGACAGACACAACCAAUAAACUUAACUGGAUGCUCUGUCUACACAAGAGAGCUCAGAAGACAGCCGGCAGAAACAGGGCAGUAAGCCAAGCCCCGGGGCAGAAGAGCAGAAAGUAGACACCUUACAUGAGCAGGAGGGAGGUUGAGGAGAACAGAAAGCAGUUCACACCUGAGGGGGGACAGCCAGCAGGCCAGCCAUUACCCUAAGAGCUUUAAACAUCUUGUUGAGUUCAAUCUCCAAAGCAGUUCUACAAAACACACAUAAUUACCUCACUUUAGAAGUGAGUUAAAUGAGGCUAUCUGCCCAUGAUCACGCAGCCAGCUGACAUCACCCAAGCAGCAAAAACAGUUGAGUCAUAAUGACAGCAAACACUGUGACAGAAGGCUCUCAAAAAGUUCGGUAUUAUUGGAACCUGUGCAGAACACAAUCGCGUGGCUGGCUGUGUGUGGCGUGCCAUCAUCUAAGGAGGGCAGCCUUCGCCAUCUUAGUCACAGCUGCCAUGAUGACCUACAAGAACCCCAUCCCUGAGGAUUGUGGAUGUUCCCUCCUGGAAUGGAUGAGGAAGUGCACUGCACCCGCAGCUGAGACCCAGCGCUCCCUGCUGCACCCUCACUGUGUAUACCUCAGCCUCUGCUUGUGCCUUUUGAAGGAUUUGGAUGUUCUUUGUCUACAACCACACUUCAGAACCUAGCCACAAAACCAACUCUCUUCAACUAUGUCUCUUCCAAAAUUUUCCCACAUCUGGGCAUUUCAUUAUGCAGAUACAAUCAGAGUUCAAAUUGCUUAACAGGAAACUUCUUUGGAGCAGAAGGCUGUCCCAGACUUCAUGAAGGACUCCCUACAAAAAGCAGUACAACUACACAAUGACUCAAAUGCUACCCUAAAACACCAUCUUCAGCCCAUCUGUUGAAGGGACCAGCUCCCCUUUCAGCAGCCAUAACAGCCGAACACGUGCUUGCCAUAAACUUGCCUUGGUCACUUAGAGGUCAGAUGCCUGCCUUGUGACAAGGAACCAAUCAGAAGUUAGUUAGUCACUAGAAAGUCAGAUGCCUGUCUCGUGACAAGGAACCCCUCAGAAUUUAGCUGGUGGAGCUAUGCUUUAUGGCUCUGGGUGUGCUUUACGGACAAGCGCACAGCAAUGACGCACAAAGCAUAGCAACCACCCUGGGAGGGCCUAUGGGCCAUAACAACCAGUUAUGGGCCAAUCAACACAGGGCAAGCCCUCCAGGCCUGGAGGCACACCAAUCCUGAGCCUGUGCUUACCCCUAGACACUCCCCUUACGCUGCCCUAUAAGAUCUCUUGGGAGGCCCUAUGAGCUGUCUUUUCUAGCCAUCCGCCCACGGCGUAUGGGUGAAAGACCCGAGCUAACAUGGGGUUAGCUCGUUAAAUUACAAUAAAGCCUCAUGCAGUUUGCAGCAAGCUCUCAAAUCCACCUGGUGAUUGGGGUGACCGCAGUCGUGGCCUGGGACCCCGGAUACCUGAGUUUUCCAGGGGUCUAACACUGUGAUUCUAGGACAGGACACUCCCCAGGUCGGCUUAUCUUCUUCCAGUGUUCUAGUGUUGCACUGCUCUCUGCAAGCAAAAGUGUAACCACCUCGGGUGGUGCGCAGCCAGCUGAGACUGGAUUUCAGCGGCUGAAGAGAGAGAGAGGCUUUGUGAGGUUAUUAUGCACCUUCUUCUUUGGAAGACGGCUUCCAAACCGCUUCCAAGCGUUUGCAAAACAAACAUCACCACCCGCCAGCACUGUUUGCUUUCUUCUGAAAUUGCUGUAUUUGCCAUGAAAACCACAGACUAUAAACAAGAGCGCCUGAUCAGAGGACCUUGAAACCACUGGGUCACUGAGUCAACACCUAAGGAGGAAGGCAGUCGACUGGGAUCUGGAAUACACGAGUCAGAAAUCAAUCUCUCACCUAGAAUGUCUUACUAACUCAAAAGAACAGUAAAGAUUGUGCUAUUUC